UCUCUCUCUCAGCCCUCACUAUUGGGAAGCAAGUUGCCAUCUUAUGAGCAGGGAGAGGCCCACAUCCCAAGGAGCUGAUGUUUCUGGCCAACAGCCAGUGAGGACCUGAGGCCUGCCAGGUCACAUGAGGGAGCCUGGAAGUGGGUCUUCUCAGUCCUGCCAACAGCUGUGAGUGAGCAUGGACGCAGAUCCUCUCCCAGUGGAGCAUUUGGAUGACCACGGCUCUGGCUAACACCUCACUUACAGCCUUGGGAGAGAUUCUGAGUCAGAGGCAUCCAGCUAAAUUGACCCACAGACACGGUCCCGGUUUAUGACUGCAAAACAAUGGUUUAAACAGUAUUCAUUCUGGAACAUCACUCAAUUUCACUAAUACUAUUCAAAUUCUGGAUGAGAAUUCGCUUCUGCAAAUUAGAAGCAAUUCAUCUAAGAUAAUGAACACAGAAGCGAAGCAGAAGCCAUUUUCCUACAUCCUUUCGACUGUUUUAACUGCAAACAAAGAUAAAGAAAUGCAAGGUGUUAGCAGUGCUUUUUGUGGCACUUUCCAAUUUUCUGGGUGUCAAGAGGCAAUUGUGACUACAGCAUUAGCAGUGUAACUCUGGCUUCCUGAUUACUGGAUUGCAGCA
rnacentral:lncRNA from 1 species